rnacentral:rRNA from 1 species
AUAAAAAAUAAAAGUUAAUAUUAAAUACACCAUUAUUAAAAAAUCAAAACAUUUACAAAUUUAGUAAAGGAGAUUAAAAAUUUAUACAUAUAAACUUUUUUAGUACUAAAAAGGAACUAUAUUAAAUAUUCAAUUAGUUAAGAAUAACCUUGUACCUUUUGCAUCAUGGCUUAGCUAGAUUUAACUUUUAAAUUAAAUUUCUCGAAAUUUGAUGAGCUAUUUUAUGUUUCUAUUAUAGAAGAUAAAAAUUAACUGUAGCAAAAGUUUUUUAAAAACAUAAAAUAGAAAUGAUAUUUUUUCCGAAUCAAAUGAUAGCUAGUUUUUCUUUAAAUGUAUAGAAGUACAUAAAAUUAAAAAUUAUUAAAUUAAUCUUUUUAAUUUAACAAUAUUUUAAUUAAAAAAAAUUUAUGAGGAUAAGCUCAUAAAUAAAAAUAUUAAAUAUAUAUUUUAUUUUUAAAUUUAAGCUUGAAAAUAGCUAUAAUUUAAAUUGAUUUUGUUAUAAUUUCAUUAAAAUAAUAAAAAAAAAUAAAUAUAUUAAAUAAAUAAAGAAAAUAACUUGUUAAUUAAAAUUAAGUUGUACAUAUGCUAAAAUGAGUAUUAAUAGAUAUAAAAAUUUAAAAAUAAAUGAAUUAAAUCCAAGAACUUAUUUCUUAAAAAAUAAAAUCAAAAAAAGGAACUCGGCAAAAACUUGCUCUGCCUGUUUAGCAAAAACAUGGCUCUUUGAUAUACACCUAUAAAGAGUCCGGCCUGCCCAGUGAGAUUUCAACGGCCGCAGUAUCUUAACUGUGCUAAGGUAGCAUAAUAAUUUGUCCUAUAAUUGAGGACUGGAAUGAAUGGUCUCACAAGAGCAAAGCUGUCUCUUUUUGAUUAGAUAGAAUUUAACUUUCAGAUGAAGAGGUCUGAAUAUAAUUAAAAGACAAGAAGACCCUAUCGAGCUUUAAAAAAAUUAGUAAAAUCUAUUUUAUACUACGUAAAAAUAAAUUAUUAAACAUUUUGGUUGGGGCGACUAAGGAACAAAAAAAGCUUCUUUAAUUUACUGAAACUUACUAGUUUUGAUCCAUAAGUUAUGAUUAAUGAAAUUAGUUACCGUAGGGAUAACAGCAUUAUCUUUUUUGAGAGCUCUAAUCGAAAAAAAGGUUUGUGACCUCGAUGUUGGACCAGAAUAUCCUAAAGGUGCAGAAGUCUUUAAGGGUUGGUCUGUUCGACCAUUAAAAUUCU